rnacentral:rRNA from 1 species
AUACUGUCAAACUUGAGUGCAGAAGGGGAGAGUGGAAUUCCAUGUGUAGCGGUGAAAUGCGUAGAUAUAUGGAGGAACACCGGUGGCGAAAGCGGCUCUCUGGUCUGUAACUGACGCUGAGGCUCGAAAGCGUGGGGAGCGAACAGGAUUAGAUACCCUGGUAGUCCACGCCGUAAACGAUGAGUGCUAGGUGUUGGAUCCUUUCCGG